GAGAGGAGGCUUUAUGUUAGGAUAUGAGAGGUUAAAGAAUGAAAGAGGCCAGAACAUUGGGUUUCUUGCUGUAGAGGAGCUAUGUGGCUUUUCAUGUUAAAGGGAAGAUAAUGAGAGUGGCUGAGGUGGAACUGGAAACAGAAACAAAAAUAGUGAUGGGAUGUCAGGGUUGUGUUAGGAUAUUAAAGUUGUCUUCAACGUGGCAGUUUUUUUAGUUAAAAUUCAUGUUCUCUUCUUACCACCACCUCUGCUUUUUGUUUUUGCAAAUUGUAUUAAUGUACUUGCUUUAGAGGGUUAUAUGAAAGAAUGGUUUCUGUUGUGUUUCAUAGUGUGUUAUAAAAAUUGAAUGAUUUGUGAACUGAUUUAUUUUUCUCUAUUACAAUUUACGACAAAAUACACAGUAAAAGUCAGAGCACUGUGUUCAAGUAUUUAACAGAAUCACUACUGGAAUGUCGUUCCUUUGAAUGGAAUGGUUGAGAGUUUUCUCUUGGGAGUGAAGUUAGCAAAAAGAAAUCCAUAAAUGUGAAUACUAUGUCCUCCUAUGAUUUCUAUUAAUAUCACGGCUUAAAAUAUUUUUUCAGUCAUUUGAUUACUCAGAGUACACAUAUGGAUGUUAACAGUAAAAAAGUUUCUCUUUAGAUGUAUCAAAAACUGGGAAAGUAAAUUUCAUUUUCUAUAAUAUUACAUGAUUUCUUUGUUAAAUUAUUGAUAUAAAAAUAAGAAAUAUUAUACUUAGAUUAAAAGAAUCCCACUUAAAUUUUAGAUAAUCCAUAUCACAAAUAAAAAAAGGAAAUUAAAUAGUUUGUGAGUUUUAAGUUGUUGAGGUAUUUCAUGUGUGCAUUUUAGUUCUCUAAUGGACAAAAUGAAAUGUAGACUAUUUUCUUAUAACCAUGCUCAAGAUUCUGAUUUUUCUCCCAUUCUCUAAGUUUGCCAUGCACAUCUAUCAUCAGAAAAUGUUGACAUUUUGAUCAAAACAAACAAUGGAUUUUCUAAGUUUUUCGUGUUUUUUCAAAAACAUUUCUGAUUCACAAAACAUAUAUCCCACUUAAGUUUGCUAUAAUUAUUACAUAGGCAGUUAACAAAGUCAAUGAGAGAGAGAGAGAGAGAGCUCUCUGUGGUUGCUCAGCCUGCUAGAAAUAGCAGCUAAAUCUGUCAUAUUACACCCUACUUAAAAAAAAAUGAUGCAUCUGAAAAAAAAAAAAAAAAAGAAAGACAAGAUAGUCAUAGGUCUGUUUGAUCAUUGUUGGCCUGGAAUUAAACAACAGCUGGCAUUUAUAGCAAAAUAGAUGUUCACCUUAUAAGAACUCUGUACUUACUAUCAGUAGUAGUCUUGUAUCAAAGAACUUAUGUACAGGUGUUUGUUUGAAGAACAAUUGUUUUGAUUGCUAGUAGUAGCCAAUUAUAGAGAUAACAUUUCUCAAUUCUUUCUCUGUGGUAUUUUGGUAGGAUACAUAGCAAUACUGUUUUAGGUUUUUUUCAUUGGGUUCUCAAUAUUCAGUUGGAGAGAAAAAGGCUGGGGAAUAUUCCACAUAUUGAAGUAUUAUCAUUUUAUUGUGUAAAAUAACUUUGCUUUUUUAAGUAACUAAAUAUAAAUUUAUUCAUUUUCUGCCUCCUCCUCUUUCCAUUCUCUUGUACAGUAAAUGCUUAAAAUAAGUCAGAAAAAAUUAUAAAAUGAGUCCAGCAGAAGAAAAACAACAACAAAAAACAAAGAAGCAAAGAUUAUGUAGUUGCUCCCUUGUCAUUCACACCACUGGAAAUGCAUUCAACCAGUGAGUGAUCAGUUGGAAACCUAUAAGCAAUGAGCAGAGCUAUUGUCCAUAAAAUGUAUGAUGUUAUAAAAAUAUUUUAUGUACAGUGAAUAAACUCUAUUUGAUGUAACAAAUACUUUCUCUCCUUUGUAAAUUCUGACAUAUAUACACACACAAAAAAUACAGGUAGAUGCUCUACUUUUAAUAUUGUUUUGAGCAUAAGCAGCAAGUGAAUGACUGUAAAAGUUUGUAUAGUUAUGUUUUGUAGAUCUACUAACUAGCUUACAUAUACAAUUGAGUAAGUUAUUUUAUUUGUUGUUGUUGCCUGUAAGAGAAUUAUUGCUAUGACAUCAGUAGCUGAAGUUACUGUUCUACUGGUAGCCUAGUUCUUUUCAUUGGAAGUUGUGUAACUCUCUUCUAGCACUAAGGAUGGAGUGGGGUUGCAAUCACACUGAACAGCUAAGUAGAACAGUUCUUGUCAUUGUUUAUGGAAAGUUGACAUUAGCUUAACACACACAACUUGGUCUGCCCUUUGAUAUUAUUUAUUAACAGCUGCAGACCCGAAAAUGAUUCUAUCAACAAAAGUUUUACAAGUAAAUUUUAUGAAGAAAUGCUGCUAAUCAUCUGAGUAAAAUAUUAAUAUAAACGAAGACAUUCUUUUUCUUCUAAAUUUCUUCCUGAUGUAUCCCAAUUUGACUAUACAGACAUGUUAUUCCUAUCCAAACAUCCCAUCGGCAUUAAGUUUCACACAGAUACCCCAGAUGGCCCCUCAACCUAUGUCUCCUACUUUGAUGCAACGAAGUUUUUCUCCACCACUUCAAAGGAGAGCUGUAUCCAUUGGCACUCACUGUGAUGGUGGUUUUAUAGCAAGGCGGUCCGUGUCUCCACUGCCUUAUGAUCGACCGACCCCCAUCAAAUCACCUCCAUUUUGUUACAGGCAUGAUAGUCAUUUUAGAAGAAAAAUUCAGGAAAGGUAAGAAUUUUAUUGUG
rnacentral:lncRNA from 1 species